UACAGAGGGUGCAAGCGUUGUCCGGAAUUAUUGGGCGUAAAGAGCGUGUAGGCGGCUCGAUUAGUCCGCUGUGAAAGUCCAGGGCUCAACCCUGGAAUGCCGGUGGAUACUGUCGAGCUAGAGUCCGGAAGGGGCGAGUGGAAUUCCUGGUGUAGCGGUGAAAUGCGCAGAUAUCAGGAAGAACACCCGUGGCUAAGGCGGCUCUCUAGUACGGUACUGACGCUGAGACGCGAAAGCGUGGGGAGCGAACAGG
rnacentral:rRNA from 1 species